UGUCUUUAGACUCUGCAACUCCUCAUGCUUUCUGUUCAAAGCAUGGAACCACUCUUCCCAUAUAUCCUUCUCUUGCUUCAUCUUGGCGAGUGCGUCUUCCCACUCCUCUACAUCUUGGUUAGGGAGAGUUAAUGGCUCACCCUUAACCAUAGGCAUAGGUCUCUCACAAGCAUAAGGCAUCUUCAAUUCUAAAUCUCUCUUCUUUAC
rnacentral:lncRNA from 1 species